AGACUAUAUGUGGAUUCAUGCACACUUGGAGUGUACUUUAAAUAGCCUAGAUCUUCAAAUUCUACAAGCCAAUUUAUUCUAUAGGCCGAGGUAGAUGGUCUCCAUCCAUACAAAUUUUUCUUCAAGAGUAAGGGAGUUACAUGAGUUAGAUGGAGAAGCCAGGAGUUUUGAGACAUCACGGUUCUUGGGCACGCCUUUGGAUGGACGAUGACGUAUUAAACUAUUGGAGUUCAAUUGAAGCGAUGAUUUUGCCGAAUUUACCUCAAUAGCCUUCCUUCAUUGCUUGGCAAUAUGCCAUACGUGAAACAACGUCUCCAUCCAACCGACUCCGAUUCAACGAUUCUUCGUGUUUAAAAUUUCGAACGAGCAAAUAAUACAAAACUUGAACUGCUAAAUGAAAAACCCUUA